UGCAGCUUUGAGCAGAUUCGGAAUUGUAUAUACACCAUUUGUUCUUUUAUGGUGGCAGAAUUCCAGUAAACGUGGAAAACUGGGCAAACAGAUGUAUUUAAUUUAAUAAUGUAUUUAAUCAUUUUGCAUGGUAUUUUGCAACAAAUUGAACAAGGAGCUUAUUUUCCCUGUGCACCCACAAGACUGAAACACCCAACUAUUCAGCUGCAGGUGAUUACGCAACAGAGCACCUAAUGAACACUCACGUCUUGUUCUGCAGUGAAAUCACAACGCGAUGAUGGAGUGUGUAUAACACUGUCUGGAUCCUCUCCUACACCACUAUUCAUGACAGGUGACAGCUACUGAUUGGCCCAGAUUACUGGAAGCCAUAAGCAUAACAGUGGUAACAGUUGUGUGGAUGUAUGUGUGCCUAUGUCUGCGUAUGUGUGGAGGGGGAAGGGACCAGGGCUUCAUGCCAACUUGAGGCAGCCAGAAUACACACACACACACACACACACACACACACAUACACAUAGAAGAUAGAAUGGCUUUGGGCUGGCUGCGAGUGUGUGUGACAGACACGCCCUUACAAACAGGGUUAACUUCGCGCUAACCAAUUAGAAUUCAGGAAAAGGAGGGGUGGGAAAACCCCGGGGGCCAGAGAGCAGCCAAGCUGGACGAAACUCUCGCUUUAUUACAACUCAGAGGCCUUGAACCAAUUAAACAGAACUACAUGCAUGAAGACACACACCCAUUCACGUGUGUAGAUCUGCACAAAUCUCAUAUAAUGAUUUGAACUUGCAUCGCAGUACUUGGCAUUCUGCCAAGAGCAAAAUUGGGUCAAACACACUAAAAUGCAUCUUUGCUCUCUGCCCUGCCCCUGUUAUGUAACACUCCUGGAUGUUUAGACAAGCUUAGGAUUGAAAUGAUCCCAGUGGAAGGGAUACGAGUGGAACAAGAGGAGAACAAGGGCAACAGAGGGUUCACAUGCAGAUAGAGAAACAGAAUGAGAGGAUACAACAAACAACAAAAAGGAAACAACAUAGUAGCAGCAUGUUUACCAAUGACAUAGGAGAGGAUGAGAUUCCAUCCAGUGAUGAAGGCCCAGAGUUCCCCUACAGUCACAUAGGAGUAAAGCACCGGCUAGCACGUAGACACCAGCGCCCAGUGUGCUGCCCACGCCCAGGGCCACCAG